rnacentral:rRNA from 1 species
AUUGAACGCUCGCGGAAUGCUUUACACAUGCAAGUCGAACGGCAGCACGGGGCAACCUGGUGGCGAGUGGCGAACGGGUGAGUAAUACAUCGGAACGUGCCCACUCGUGGGGGAUAACGUAGCGAAAGUUACGCUAAUACCGCAUACGAUCUACGGAUGAAAGCGGGGGAUCGCAAGACCUCGCGCGAAUGGAGCGGCCGAUGUCAGAUUAGGUAGUUGGUGGGGUAAAGGCUCACCAAGCCAACGAUCUGUAGCUGGUCUGAGAGGACGACCGGCGACACUGGGAUUGAGACACGGCCCAUGCUCUUACGGGAGGCAGCGGUGGGUAAUUUUGUGCAAUGGGCGAAAGCGUGUUCCAGCCAUUCCGCGUGCAGGAUGAGUGCGUUGGUGUGGUAAACUUCUUUUGUACGGAACGAAACGGCUCUCUCUAAUACAGGGGGCUACUGGCGGUACCGUAAGAAUAAGCGCCGGCUAACUGCGAGCCAGCAGCCGUCGUAACAC